CCGCCGCUCGUUCCUUCUUUUCCCCCUUCUCGUCAUAUCUAGCGACCAGCCGCCAGAACCGCCUUGCCCCGCCAUUCGUCGCCCCUGCCGCUCCGCCGCGUUUCCUCCCCAUCCGCCGCUCUCCAUUGCCUCCCUAAGGUACCGAGGGGGAUUGACAUGGGGAUUUGAGUGGGAGAGGUUGGACCUACAAAGUGGUGUGUGGAUCUGAAAAGCAAGAGUAGAUGGAUUGAAGGCGAGCAGACCCCUCUGUCUUCUCUCUUUCUUCGCAGAGCCGCCGCUCGUUCUUUCUUUCCCCCCUUCUCGUCAUAUCGACAAGCCGCCAGAACCGCCUUGCCCCGCCAUCCGUCGCCCCUGCUGCUCCGCCGUGUUUCCUCCCCAUCCGCCGCCCUCCAUUGCCGCCCCAAGGUACCGAGGGGGAUUGACAUGGGGAUUUGAGUGGGAGAGGUUGGAUCUGCAAAGGGGUGUGUGGAUCUGAAAAGGUGAUAACAUAUUUUGUGGCUCGGACAUCCAGGGGAGCAAGAGUAGAUGGAUUGAAGGCGAGCGGACCCCUCUGUCUUCUCUCUUUCUUCAUAGAGCCGUCGCUCGUUCUUUCUUUCCCCCUUCUCGUCAUAUCUAGCGACAAGACGCGAGAACCGCCUUGCCCCGCCGUCUGUCGCCCCUGCUGCUUUGCCGCGUUUCCUCCCCAUCCGCCGCCCUCCCUCUAUUGCCGCCCCAAGAUAAG